AGUGAACGCUGGCGGUAGGCCUAACACAUGCAAGUCGAACGGCAGCACAGUAAGAGCUUGCUCUUACGGGUGUCGAGUGGCGGACGGGUGAGGAAUACAUCGGAAUCUACUUUUUCGUGGGGGAUAACGUAGGGAAACUUACGCUAAUACCGCAUACGACCUACUGGUGAAAGCAGGGGAUCUUCGGACCUUGCGCGAUUGAAUGAGCCGAUGUCGGAUUAGCUAGUUGGCGGGGUAAAGGCCCACCAAGGCGACGAUCCGUAGCUGGUCUGAGAGGAUGAUCAGACACACUGGAACUGAGACACGGUACAGACUCCUAAGGGAGGCAGCAGUGGGGAAUAUUGGACAAUGGGGGCAAGCCUGAUCCAGCCAUACCGCGUGGGUGAAGAAGGCCUUCGGGUUGUAAAGCCCUUUUGUUGGGAAAGAAAAGCAGCAGGUUAAUACCCCGCUGUUCUGACGGUACCCAAAGAAUAAGCACCGGCUAACUUCGUG
rnacentral:rRNA from 1 species